rnacentral:rRNA from 1 species
CCUACGGGAGGCAGCAGUAGGGAAUCUUUCACAAUGGGCGAAAGCCUGAUGGAGCAACGCCGCGUGCAGGAUGAAGGCCUUCGGGUUGUAAACUGCUUUUAUAAGCGAGAAAUAUGAUGGUAACUUAUGAAUCAGGAUCGGCUAACUACGUGCCAGCAGCCGCGGUCAUACGUAGGAUCCGAGCAUUAUCCGGAGUGACUGGGUGUAAAGAGUUGCGUAGGUGGCAUAAUAAGUAGCUAGUGAAAUCUGGUGGCUCAACCAUUCAGACUAUUAGCUAAACUGUUAAGCUCGAGACCGUUAGGGGUAACUGGAAUGUCUAGUGUAGGAGUGAAAUCCGUAGAUAUUAGAAGGAACACCAAUAGCGUAGGCAGGUUGCUGGGACGGUUCUGACACUAAGGCACGAAAGCGUAGGGAGCAAACGGGAUUAGAUACCCCAGUAGUC